GGAAGGAAGGAAGGAAGGAAGGAAGAGGGGAAGGAAAGAGAAAAGAAAAGAAAUUGGCUGGGCCAUUCAUCUCUCUGAAUCUCAUGGUUCCAUGUGGGGCAGGAUCCACUUGUAAGAUGGCUCCUCACACCCAUGUCUAGCACCUCCUGGGUCUUCUGCUUCUCUCUGUCUCUGCAUGCUUUCUGGGACCUCUCCAGUGGCUUCAGCUUCUCAUACCAUGGCCCUCAAGGUUGGUGCCCAUGAGGAAAUGAUUAAAAGCAAGCAUAGGAAGAGGCACAAGGGGAAGCUGCAACUUCUGUGACCAAACUUCUGAAUCUCCAAAGUCACACAGCGGCAUUCUGGACUUAGCAAGCAUGUUGCUUCCGAGAGCCUCAUAAACACGCCUGGCCCUGGAUUUAUUAUGCGGUGAUAAUCCCUCUUAGCCAGCUGCUUCUGACAUUGAAACUGUGGACAAGAGAUCCUGGAGGGCAGACCCUGAAGUGCUCUCUUGCCUGGUGGCCUCCCGACAGAAGAGGAACCCAAGGCUUUAGACUGAUUUCUGUAACACUGAGGCCAAGUGGUCGUCGGUCUUCGAGGGCACGUCCUGUGCAGCCUCUUUUCUGUGUGGGCAAAUGAGUGUCAUCCAAACCUGUCUCAGCCAUACUGCUUCAGG